GGCUUAGAGUUUGAUCAUGGCUCAGGAUAAACGCUGGCGGCGCACAUAAGACAUGCUAGUCGAACGGAAGUCGUUACAAAAAGGAUUGAAGAUUUAUCUGAUUGAGAUUUUGUAACAAUGGCUUUAGUGGCGGACUGGUGAGUAACGCGUAAGGAAUCUACCUAUUAGAGGGGAAUAACAAUGAGAAAUCAUUGCUAAUACCUCAUAUGCCAUAGUGAAGGCAUCUUCAUAGUGGGAAAGGAGCAAUCCGCUAAUAGAUGAUCUUGCGUCUGAUUAGUUAGUUGGUGGGGUAACGGCCUACCAAGACGACGAUCAGUAGCCGGACUGAGAGGUUGAACGGCCACAUUGGGACUGAGAUACGGCCCAGACUCCUACGGGAGGCAGCAGUCGGGAAUAUUGCGCAAUGGAGGAAACUCUGACGCAGUGACGCCGCGUAUAGGAAGAAGGUUUUCGGAUUGUAAACUAUUGUCGUUAGGGAAGAGAAAGGACAGUACCUAAGGAGGAAGCUCCGGCUAACUACGUGCCAGCAGCCGCGGUAAUACGUAGGGAGCGAGCGUUAUCCGGAUUUAUUGGGUGUAAAGGGUGCGUAGACGGGUAAUCAAGUUAGUUGUGAAAUCCCUCGGCUCAACUGAGGAACUGCAACUAAAACUGGUUGUCUUGAGUGCAGGAGAGGUAAGUG
rnacentral:rRNA from 1 species